GGCGGACAGCAGUCCCACUUGCAGGUACCUGCCCGUUACACUCCAGGAAUCAAGUCUUUCCGGAUGUCCCCGGUCCGCCGGGGGCCUUCAGUCAGCAGCCGCUGCAACCCCAGGGAG
rnacentral:sRNA from 1 species